CAACUUGAACACGAUCUGCGGAAUGUAUAGAACAAGAAGCACUGAGAUUCAGAAUGGAGUGAUUUCUUUAACCAGUCAUUUUCACAUUAACCAGUGGACUGAACUCUUCCAUGAACUCUGCGGCUCUGAGCAGACACUGCAGAAGUGGUAACAGCUGAAGUUACCAACGAAUGGGGUUCUGCCCAUGAAGUUUGAAUGAUUAGCAGUAACAAUUUCAGAGGGGUCCUUUCACCCUCAAGAGAGCACCAUCUGUGUAACAGUAGUCUGUAGUCUGUAUAUUAUAUGUAACAUAGAGGAUCCUGCAAAUUCUCUCAGGCAGCUGACAGAGUCAACAUGCAGAGCUUCUCACACAGACAUGUUUGUACCCGUCUCUAUGUGUGGCUCUGCACCCUACAAUAAACACAACUGUUUAUUUCAGUAAUUAUACUUUGAAAUAAACGCCCACAGUGUGCUUAAUUUUAAUGA